rnacentral:rRNA from 1 species
AUGGCCAUGAAAACACAGCUCCUUCGCUUGCUACCUCUGCUGCUCCUGCUCCUUCCGCCUCCCCUUCGCGAUUACUUGUCGACCGAUGAAGCCGCCGGCGUCAGAGUCCGCCAGGGCCGGCUCCGUGUCUACCACCCGAUAAUCUUGUUCCCUGGCAUAAGUUGUCCCAACCUGGAGGCGCGGCUGACCGACGCUUACACCCCGUCGGCGCCGCGCUGCGGAGCGCUCAAGGGGAAGGGAUGGUUCCCUCUCUGGAACAACACCCGGGACGUGCUCGACCAUGAUUACCUUCCAUGCUUACAGGAGCAGAUGAGCCUCGUGUAUGACCCCGUCCUCAACGACUUCCGGAACCGGCCCGGCGUCGAGACGCGCGUGCCCGACUUCGGCUCCUCCUACGGUUUCACCUCAAAGGACGAAGUGGGCGGCCUUAACAUCUAUUGCAUGUCAAAACUUCGCCAAGAACUGGAGGCACUAGGUUAUCGCGACAGAGAUACUCUUUUCGGCGCUCCUUACGACUUACGGCACGCUCCACCUUCACCCGGCCAGCCAUCUCGGGUGUACACCGACUACUUUGCCCGUGUCAAGAAUCUGGUGCAGCAUGCGAGCGAGAAGAACGGGAACAAGCCUGUCAUCCUCGUUGGGCACAGCUUCGGAGGCAAGGCAGCCCUCGACUUCGUCAAUUCGACUCCCCUUCCAUGGAGGAAAAAAUUCAUCAAACACAUGGUCCUAAUAGCACCCACACCUCCUACGGGCUUUGUACAGGUGCUCACGAACUUCGCCUCUGGGCCGUCAGUCAUUCUUAUACCGACCGUACCUUGGCUGGGUUUGCGUCCAAUGUGGAGAACUUUCGCGAGUUCCCUUAUAUCCUUCCCAUCUACCAGAGUUUUUGGUCAUGAGCCGCUUGUAGUCACCAAACAUAUGAACUACUCAGCAUAUGACUACAGGGAUAUGCUCAUGGAUCUCGGUUUCAGCAUUGACAUCAUAAAAUGGAUACUUCGGAUGAAUCUAAAGGUUGAUGCUCCAAUGGUGCCGACGACAUACCUCAAUGGAGUUGGUUUCCAAACAAUAGAUCAGGCAGUAUACUGGGAUAGUAACUUUGAUGUGGAGCCAGAGUAUGUAUAUGGCGAUGGUGACGAUGUCGUCAACUUAGUUAGCUUGUUGGCAUUUGUGGAAGAAAUGAGGAGGCAGCAGCAGCGGAAUAGCAUACACUUCAAGUUCAUCAAGAUUGCUCAUACUAACCACUCUCAUAUUCUAAUUCAGGAACGUUCACUUAAGAGAGUUAUGGCUGAAAUUCUAGAAGCUAAUUGCAGAGGAGACAUCACGUAA